UAUUUCUUUAAGGCAAUCCGGGUGCUUCUGACAUCAUCGAUGUUGGUCAAUGGUGCGUUGCGAGUAACGAGAGGGGGAGACAGAACUCUGAUAGAGACGGCCAUUCGUAUUGAAGCUUCACAGGGACUAUCAACAGGGAGUAUAGCCGAUGCUAAAGGAAAAUUGGGGUAUGAGAGCCACCAGAAUCCGUUCCCAUCCUUCGCUGCCCGGGGCCCAGUCUGACUGACAUCCUUCGGAUCAGCACCGCCACUGAACCACCUCUCGAAUAAAGCUAAUAUCGUUGAACAUUCAACACCAUGGAUCUGAGAGUGGGGAACAAGUACCGACUGGGACGGAAAAUAGGGAGUGGGUCCUUUGGAGACAUUUACCUUGGUGCCAAUAUUGCCACGGGCGAGGAGGUGGCCAUUAAGUUGGAAUGUGUGAAGACCAAACACCCACAGCUGCACAUCGAGAGCAAGUUCUACAAGAUGAUGCAGGGAGGAGUGGGGAUUCCCUCGAUAAAGUGGUGCGGGGCAGAGGGAGACUACAACGUCAUGGUGAUGGAGCUCCUGGGCCCCAGUCUGGAAGACCUCUUCAACUUCUGUUCCCGCAAGUUCAGCCUCAAAACGGUGCUACUGCUGGCAGACCAAAUGAUCAGUCGCAUCGAGUACAUCCACUCCAAGAACUUCAUCCAUCGCGACGUCAAGCCCGACAACUUCCUCAUGGGGCUUGGGAAGAAGGGCAACCUAGUGUACAUCAUCGACUUUGGCCUGGCCAAGAAGUACAGAGACGCCCGCACACACCAGCACAUCCCCUACAGGGAGAACAAGAACCUGACGGGCACUGCACGCUACGCAUCCAUCAACACCCACCUGGGCAUCGAGCAGUCUCGGCGUGAUGACCUGGAGUCUCUGGGAUAUGUCCUCAUGUACUUCAACCUGGGCUCUCUGCCCUGGCAAGGCCUCAAAGCCGCCACAAAGAGGCAGAAGUACGAACGCAUCAGCGAGAAAAAAAUGUCCACCCCCAUCGAAGUGCUCUGCAAAGGAUACCCCUCCGAGUUCUCCACCUACCUGAAUUUCUGCCGCUCGUUGCGCUUUGAUGACAAGCCAGACUACUCAUACCUUCGUCAGCUCUUCAGGAAUCUGUUCCACAGACAAGGCUUCUCCUAUGACUACGUAUUCGACUGGAACAUGCUCAAAUUUGGUGCCAGUAGGACAGCAGAAGACGGUGAGAGGAGGGGAGCUGACGAAAGAGACGAGCGUAUCGUAGGAGGCCCUCGGGGAUCCGCUGCACGGGGUCUCCCGCCAGGGCCAAACCCACCAGCCGUCAACAGAGUUAGGAAUGGACCAGAGCAGGCCAUCUCUAACCCCGCCUCACGGGUGCAGCAGUCUGGGAACACGUCGCCGCGGGCUAUCUCUCGCGCUGAGCGUGAGCGGAAGGUGAGCAUGCGGCUCCACCGAGGAGCCCCCGCAAAUGUGUCAUCCUCUGACCUUACAGCCCGUCUUGACCAAUCCCGAAUUUCCACAUCGCAGGUACGCUAACGCUACCCCAUCAUGCAUCAUCACAAACCCUAAAACCCAGGUGCCAUGCACCUGAGCCCAACUCCUACGACCAACUUUUUGAGGGGGAAUAUCAACUGGAAAAAUGUCCACCCUUCCAGAACAAGAUUACAUUUCUUGUCAAAGAGUCAGAGGACUUCCUAUUAGUGUUUAGCUUCUAUAUUAUGUAGCAUGCAGUGGGUUGAUUAUUAUUUUUAUAUUGCGGCACUCACUUGAUCACCCUCUUAUUUGCACUCCAAUUUUCGGAGUCCUUUGUUCUCUCAAAUCAAAUGUAUUUAUAUAGCCCUUCUUACAUCAGCUGAUAUAUCAAAGUGCUGUACAGAAACCCAGCCUAAAACCCCAAACGGCAAGCAAUGCAGGUGUAGAAGCACGGUGGCUAAGAAAAACUCCCUAGGAAGAAACCUAAAGAGGAACCAGGCUAUGAGGGGUGGCCAGUCCUCUUCUGGCUGUGCCGGGUGGAGAUUAUUACAGAACAUGGCCAAGAUGUUCAUAAAUGACCAGCAUGGUCAAAUAAUAAUAAUCACAGUGGUUGUCGAGGGUGCAACAAAUCAGCAGCUCAGGAGUAAAUGCCAGUUGGCUUUUCAUAGCCGAUCAUUCAGAGUAUCUCUACUGCUCCUGCUGUCUCUAGAGAGUUGAAAACAGCAGGUCUGGGACAGGUAGCACGUCCAGUGAACAGGUCAGGGUUCCAUAGCCGCAGGCAGAACAGUUGAAAUUGGAGCAGCAGCACGGCCAGGUGGACUGGGGACAGUAAGGAGUCAUCGGGCCAGGUAGUCCUGAGGCAUGGUCCUAGGGCUCAGGUCCUCCGAGAGAGAGAAAGAAAGAGCAUACUUAAAUUCACACUGGUUAAGACAGGAGAAAUACUCCAGAUAUAACAGACUGACCCUAGCCCCUGACACACAAAUUACUGCAGCAUACAUACUGGAGGCUGAGACCGGAGGGGUCAGGAGACACUUGCCCCAUCCGAUGAUACCCCAAAGUCACCAAAAAGUAGAAUAUUAUCUGCUAUGACUACACGGUCCGAUAGGAAUUCAGGGAACUCAGUCAGGAACGCUGUAUAUGGCCCAGGAGGCCUGUAAACAGUAUCUAUAAAAAGUGAUUGGGUAGGCUGCAUAGAUUUCAUGACUAGAAGCUCAAAAGACAAACAUAUUUUUUUCUUUCUUUUUUUGUAAAUUGAAAUUUUCUAUCUUAAAUGUUAGCAACACCUCCGCCUUUGCGGGAUGCACGGGGGAUAUGGUGACUAGUGUAACCAGGAGGUGAGGCCUCAUUUGACACAGUAAAUUGAUUAGGCUUAAGCCAUGUUUGUCAGGCCAAUCACAUCAAGAUUAUGAUCAGUGGUUAGUUCAUUGACUAUAACGGUCUUUGAAGUGAGAGAUCUAACAUUAAGUAGCCCUAUUUUGAGAUGUGAGGUAUCACAAUCUCUUUCAUCGUGAUACGUCUCCCCUCCCUUUUCUCUCUCUGCAGGUCAGCAUGCCAUUUGAGCACCUGGGGAAGUGAAACAUUCAGUUCCACAUGCACUGGAUACUGACAGGGCAUCAAGAGAUCCUUUGUCCCAGUUUUGUUUCUGUUGUGUAUUUUUGCUAAUUGGACAAAUAAGUGGAUCUUGGAGGAAAGGACGGAGAAUCAUAAACUGAUGAAAGGAUGGCAGUUGGUCAAGGACUGCAGGAAUUUCUCCCCUCCACCCUAACUUUGAUGGGAUGAACCUGGCCUGUAAUAGUAUGAGGAUAAGAUAGUGAAUAACACCCUCCUCUCCACUGACCCAUUUACCCCAUGGUAGCUUGGAUCAUGCACCCCCUGCCACACACCUUUGUCCCUCCCCCAUUCUCUGGGUGGCUGGCAGGUAGAAGACUGAUUUGGGGGUUGAAAAAGACAAGCUGGUGCUCCUUUGCCAAAUAUAGUUGCGGGCACAAACGCGUUCCAAACCAAGAAAGGGUCAACUCGAAAUUUGGGCUUGUGUGGAUUUAGCCAUUUCUGUUUACACCGCAAAGACCACACACACAAAUGUACCCAUGUAUGUUUUAACCAGUUAAUUUAUAGAAUAGUAAGGGGCUGUACUGAUUGGUAUGAUAUACUGUGCAUAUUUUGUGAAUAGAUCAUAUUCAUUUGGUGGGGGUCCUAUUGAGGCUUGGGCAAUUUUACUUUCUUAUUUGAUGUUUUAACUCAGAAAGGAAAGGAACAGCUGAAGAGAAGGAAUGGUGAGAAGGAUGGAGAGAUGGGUGGGUGGUAGAUGAAGCCAUGAGAAGAAAGGAAGAGCAAGUGAAUAUUAGCUGAAAUGAUGUUGGGUUCUUUUCCCCUACUUUACCUCUUACUGAAUUGCUAAUUCUCCACUUUAGCCUAGCAUUUAGGCUACUUCAACCCACUUUGGAACUGAUGUUGUCCAAAAGCCAUGGUGGACAUGUUUUCUACCCUUCUCCUGCUUUUAUUUAUUCACCACCUCAUCCACACUUGUUUUUUUCAUCCUCCUUUUUGCCCACUUUGGUCUCCUUUUGAUUUGUGUUCUUUGGUCGUAAUAUUUGGUAGGUUGAUAAGGUCAAAGCAACCAUGCUUAUUUUAAGACUGUGCAACAUUCUUAAGACAUGGAAGAAUCACAAGCUUUCUUAAUGUAUCUGACCAGAGACUGCGAUGAACAAGUUGGCAAAUGAUGGUGGCUAUGAUUUUCAUGAUUUUUCUUAAUGCCAACUUUUACAUUUUAUUUUAAUGUUUUUCUUUUUGUAGGUCUGAUGGGAAUGGAUGAGCUCUGUACUUGAUUGCAUCAGGUGCAAUGGCUUUUUUUUGUUGCUUUUUUUUACUUCACUGUAAAUAUUUUUUAUUUCUGUGUAAGCCAAAAUUUGGUUGGUUGUUUUUAAGGUGUAAUGUAGAAAAAUAAAUGCAUAAAUUGCAGCUGGGUAUCAGUAUUUCUUUAAAAAUAUAUUAAGUACUAAAUUGGGAGGAAUUUUAGAAACUUUUACAUCGCCAACUGGGUUGUGUGUGUGUGUGUGUGUGUGUGUGUGUGUGUGUGUGUGUGUCGUCAGAAGUGUAGGUCUGGUGCAUGGACUCUCAGAAUUCCAUAGGUCCCCUGUUAAGAUCACAGGGCUGCUGGGGACAAACUGCAGGCUAUACAUUUCUCAUGCCUCAUUAUUUGAGAUUGUCCGUCUCACUGUUCUUUUUCCGAUACUCCAUUUUGUUUCUCUUGUGUACGAGGAAGCUCUUGGAAGUAUUGCACUUUGUUUUUCCUAUUUUAUUCCCAGCAGUUUGUUCAUAGUCUGAGAAUUUGUCACUACUCUCCCCAUCACUCCACUCAAAGCCUUUCCUGGAGGACCUGAUAUAGGGCUGUCUACUUUUUUUUUUUUAACAAGGAGAUCUAUUCUAUCCUUCUAUUGCAAAAUAAGAGGUCCCUGGAUGUCAUUUACCAGCACCCUUGAUGUCAUUGAUAACUGGGACUCGGAUGCAAUCACAGUGAUGUCACAGUUUCUGGUAAUGACCUGUGUUUGCGACGUGUCCCUUUGGCAAGCCAGUGUGACCCAGUGGCAAUGUAACUACGGGGAGGGAUAGCGCUGGUCAGGCUAUGGGGAGUAUACACCUUAUGUAUUGUGUACUGAUAUCUUGUACAGUUCUUUAACACACUUUAACUUUAUUUACAACAGUAUUUGUGUAUAUUUUAUGACGUAAUAAAAAAAUCUAAUUUCCUCACUA